UACAGGCGUGAGCCACAGCACCUGACCUCUCAUUCAUUUUUUUUUUUUUUUUUUUUUUUUUUGAAAAAAAAAAAAAAAAAAAAAAAAAAAAAAAUGAAUGAGAGGUCAGGUGCUGUGGCUCACGCCUGUA
rnacentral:pre_miRNA from 1 species